GUGGGGAAUCUUGCGCAAUGGGCGAAAGCCUGACGCAGCCAUGCCGCGUGAAUGAUGAAGGUCUUAGGAUUGUAAAAUUCUUUCACCGGGGACGAUAAUGACGGUACCCGGAGAAGAAGCCCCGGCUAACUUCGUGCCAGCAGCCGCGGUAAUACGAAGGGGGCUAGCGUUGCUCGGAAUUACUGGGCGUAAAGGGCGCGUAGGCGGACAGUUUAGUCAGAGGUGAAAGCCCAGGGCUCAACCUUGGAAUUGCCUUUGAUACUGGCUGUCUUGAGUACGGGAGAGGUGAGUGGAACUCCGAGUGUAGAGGUGAAAUUCGUAGAUAUUCGGAGGAACACCAGUGGCGAAGGCGGCUUACUGGUCCAUUACUGACGCUGAGGUGCGAAAGCGUGGGGAGCAAACAGGAUUAGAUACCCCAGUAGUCC
rnacentral:rRNA from 1 species